UGCAUCUGAAGCCUGACGAGGAUGAGAACCUCCGGGGGCAAGAGGUUCGACCCGAGCGAAGCGAGAGAACGUUGCGUCAGCAACGGCCCGCAGGGCGAGCCACGCAGUGGCGAGUCAUCCUCUAUCACCGGCAG
rnacentral:sRNA from 2 species